UACGUAGGGUGCAAGCGUUUAAUCGGAAUUACUGGGCGUAAAGCGUGCGCAGGCGGUUAUGUAAGACAGAUGUGAAAUGCCCGGGCUUAACCUGGGAACUGCAUUUGUGACUGCAUGGCUAGAGUUUGGCAGAGGGGGGUAGAAUUCCACGUGUAGCAGUGAAAUGCGUAGAUAUGUGGAGGAAUACCGAUGGCGAAGGCAGCCCCCUGGGAUAACACUGACGCUCAUGCACGAAAGCGUGGGGAGCAAACGAGG
rnacentral:rRNA from 1 species